CCUACGGGAGGCAGCAGUAAGGAAUAUUGGUCAAUGGACGAAAGUCUGAACCAGCCAUGCCGCGUGAAGGAUUAAGGCCCUCUGGGUUGUAAACUUCUUUUAUCUGGGACGAAAAAAGGGUAUUCUUACUCACUUGACGGUACCAGAGGAAUAAGCACCGGCUAACUCCGUGCCAGCAGCCGCGGUAAUACGGAGGGUGCAAGCGUUAUCCGGAUUUACUGGGUUUAAAGGGUGCGUAGGUGGGCUUGUAAGUCAGUGGUGAAAUCUCCGGGCUUAACCCGGAAACUGCCAUUGAUACUAUAGGUCUUGAAUUAUCUGGAGGUAAGCGGAAUAUGUCAUGUAGCGGUGAAAUGCUUAGAUAUGACAUAGAACACCAAUUGCGAAGGCAGCUUACUACGGAUAUAUUGACACUGAGGCACGAAAGCGUGGGGAUCAAACAGGAUUAGAUACCCUGGUAGUCCACGCCCUAAACGAUGGAUACUCGACAUCAGCGAUACACUGUUGGUGUCUGAGCGAAAGCAUUAAGUAUCCACCUGGAAGUACGAUCGCAAGAUUGAAACUCAAAUGAAAUUGACGGCUGAGACGAGCGAGACGACACGAGGGAGGAGG
rnacentral:rRNA from 1 species